AUGCGUCAACCAACAGCCGCGAUUGGUCUGAUGGCAAACCGCAUUUAUCGAGAAACACAUUUCCGACCGCAAGGUUAUUGUGAGAUGACAGACAUUAUUUUGGACGAUGAUUACCAAAGACUGUUCAGGAUGAAACCGGACACAUUCGAUGUCUUGUUACAAUACUUGAGAAAUAAGUAUCCGAGCAUUGAUAUGCCUUACUCUGGUGGCCUGCAGCCUGUGUCAGCAAAGAAAAAAUUACAAGUAGCCCUAAUGUACCUCUCAUCCCAAAUGACGCUCCGAAGAAUAGGAGAUAUUUUAGGGAUUGCUGAUUCAACAGUAAUGGUGGCAAAGGAUGAAAUCGUUGAAAUGCUUUGCCGAUCCGCUAAAUAUUUCAUCCGCUGGCCAACAGAGGCAGAGGCACAGACAAUAUCAAACGAAUUUCAGGAAAUUGCAGGCUUCCCAGGAGUGAUUGGAGUCAUAGAUGGUAGCCACAUUUCUGCCAAGUUUAGAAAAACAAUGGGAACAGCUACAUAAAUAGAAAAAUGUUCAAGUCAGUCGUUUUACAAGGUGUCUGUACUAGCAAACGCUUUUUUACGCAUAUCUUUGUUGGAGCACCUGGCCGCGUGCACGAUGCACGUGUAUUUAGAUUAUCAGUUUGAAAAGCCAUAAAUCAAAAGGGUAGAAAGGCCACUAUUUUACCAAGACCGUUACCACUUGCUUGGGGAUCCGGCUUACGCCUUGACAUCGUACAUGAUAGUCAGGUAUAAACAUCGGAACUUGACAGUGGCACAGAAACGCUUCAACAAGCGACAUAGUCAAACCCGGUAAGAAUGAAGCAUUUUACCUAUUUUCAUAAUCCACCUAUUCACAUAAAUUUUAAAAAUUGGUUAGGUUUUUUUAUGAGAAUAUGUACCAGGUACAGCCAAUAAAAGGACAUUUUUCAUACUCAAGGAAAAGUAAAUAGACUCAUAAGUAAUUCACAGAAUAGAGAUAUGAAACAGAAAAUGAAUGGCAUGAUAUUACUUUUGCAAUAUUUUGUUAAGAGAAUACCUAUUUUGUCACAAUAAAAGGAGAUGAACUUCUCCCUGUGUGAUAUAUCUAUAUAUAUUUUUUCUUCAUUCCUCUUGAACCCCUGGUGAUCAGAAACCAAUGUGAUUAGGUCAUGAUGGAGUUAUUGCUGAACAAUUCGUGCAGGUUUCAAAGCGACUCAUGCUCUCUUAUGUCUCUUAAUGAGAUGCUGGACCGCUCAAUAUACUGAACUCAUGUAUUCUUUUUCUUGCAGAGUGAAAAUAGAGAACACCUUUGGGUUGCUGAAAGGAAGAUGGGCCCGGCUCCAACAUAUAAACACAUACAAACACGAGAAAAUCUCAAAAACUGUAACGGCAGCGUGUGUUCUGCACAAUUUUUGUCUGUUACAACAUGAUUAUAUGGACCACUUAGUGUACAACGAGCCACAGCAAAUAAUUCAAGACCCCCUGGGAGUUGCUCCAAAUGAAGCUGUUCAAUAUCAAUUAGGUCUAGCAAACGAUUGCAGAUCACAGCUACACUUUUGUAAAUUGCUUCGCCACAGUUCAUACUGCAAAUCAUUUUUUUGACUUUCACUGAACCAUCUUUAAAUUUUCCAUUUACAAAUUAGAUAUUGUUUCAGUAUAGUUCUUAGCAUUUUAGUUUAUUUUGUAUUCUCUUCUUGUAACAUGUAACUUUGCCUUCGUGAAAGAAAAGCCUUGUCAUUAGAUGUAUUCUAUCCGUUAUCAGCUUAAUAAUAGAGUUGACGUCAAACUAUCAGUGAUGUGUACCUGAUAUGUUAUAAUAAAUUGAUCUGACUCAUAGGUAAAUACACAAGAAAGUACAAGACUUUGCUGCUUUUUAGAUCUUUGACAAACUUUAAAUAAAAUUUCAUCCGUAUCCCCUAGUCAAUAUCAUAUGCUUUAUUACAUUUCCAUACCUUCUGCUGCGCGCUGAGUUUGCUUUCGAAUGACUGCGUGAGGUUGUUGAUUUGGUUGUCGAAUGACUGCCUGAGGUUGUUGAUUUGGUUGUCGAAUGACUGCCUGAGGUUGUUGAUUUGGUUGUCGAAUGACUGCCUGAGGUUGUUGAUUUGGUUGUCGAAUGACUGCCUGAGGUUGUUGAUUCUGUUGUCGAAUGACGGCCUGAGGUUGUUGAGUUUGUUGUCUAAUGAUUGCCUGGGGUUGUUGAGUAUGUUGUCUAAUGACUGCCUGGGGUACCUGACGGACGACAAAUUGCUGAGUUGUUUGCUGUCGAACAACGUUCUGAUUCCGCUGAUGAAUGAGUGACAGUUGUGCCUGAUGAAGCACCAGCUGACUCGGCUUCGGAGCAAUUGGUCGCACUCUGGUCACCACAGGCUUUCCUAUAAUGAAACAAAGAGCGAACUUAGAGUUACCAAUUGCUAUCAUUAAUUACAAGAUUGAAAUGAACACCUGAAGCAGACUAGUAAAUGGAGAAGCUUACUACCUUAGGAACUCAUUCUGUUUGGAAAAAAAACUACUUAGAAUGUUUGCAGAUUAGACAUUUUAGACUUGAUACUUUUGAAGCAAUUUCAAAACUUGAUAUAAUGAGCUACAUGUAUAUAUAGUCAGAUCAGCAGUGAGGUUUGCACAAUGAACCCUCUUAAAUCCUCCUGAAGUCAUAUUAAAGUUAAUCGUACGCAUGAAUGAUGACUUCUAAUUACCAUACAGAAUAGCGUUAAAAAAGGCAAGUAGACAGCUUGUACCAAAUAGCGUAUAGGGUAGAGUGAUGAAAAACUUGCAAACAAUGACCUCAAAACUGAGCAUUUUGGAAAAAAUAACCCUUCACACAAAUUUACUCCAGUGUACAUGCGAAAGACUUUAAUUAAACACAUUUCUCUCAAACAGAACUUUGUGCAGUCUUGGAUGUGCAGGUGGGAAAGAUUGGGUAUGCUCAUUAGUGGUUGGGUCAUAAGAAUGAAUGGGAAUGAUGAAGCACCAGUGACGUAGCCGCCUCUCCAGUGGCCAUUCGUCGACUUUAACUCAUGAGCCAUUUGCACAGCGCUCUUAACACAUGCCUACAGCUCAUGAAGUGUGCGCAUAGUUCCAUUUGACACAAUAUAAAAUCUGCUUAUCCAAUUCAGCGAACAGAACUGUGUGCCGACUAAAUGCAAGACUCAUGAGCCGUGGGCAUGUGUUUAAAGCAGCUCGCUUGUAGACCAAUUAUUAGUAUUAGACAUAUCUUUCCCCGACAAGACAGACAAGCUGGAUUGAUUAAACGACCAGCAAGCGCAUCUGAAACCUUAUCUCAGGCCAAAUGGCCACCUAACUAGAGGCACCUCCUCGCUGGUGGAGGCGGACAACAUGUCAAAAAUUAGCUUAACAAAAGGCUCACAACGCGGUUACUUGUCACCCGAUCAAUAGAGCUUGAUAGCUGGUCUGUCACAUGGCAUCAGUCUAAUUCAAUCAAAGCCUGCCUGCCAGAAUAAUACAUGAUCCCAACGAUCAGCCUGCUGAAAUGUGCUCUAGUUUUUGUUGGUUUGCUCACGGCAAACGGGACCAAGUGGUGGAACAUUUACCCAGUACUACAAAAUUACGCAUGAAGUGUGCAAAUAAUUGAGACUACACUUGUGAGAAAUGAUGUACAAUUGAAUAAAGCAGCAUUACUUACCUAAGUUCAGUUUGCUCGUUGGUUCAACCAUGAUAUCAGGUAGAUUUUGGGACGAUAAAGGAUGGACAGACCCCGGGUUCUCAGAAGAUUUUCUAGUCUAUUUCUGUCAGGACGAUGAUUAUGCGACGAAAAAAUGUGAUGGUCGGAUGAUAGUGUUGCUCCGAAAAAUCAGAUGGUCGUUCGCCGCUUCAUUAAGAACUCAAAAGCACAAAGUUUGAAUACAAAUCCGCAUGUACUUGCUUUUCAUACAAUCAAAAGUGCCCAAAAUGGCGAAGAAUAACAGAAUUCGGGUGAAAGAUGAAGUUUCUGACAUCGAUUCCAUCAAUUCAAAAAUCGAAUUCAGGUCCGGAGGUGAAUUCGAAAUUUCAAAUUGAUGGAUUUCACCGGUCUCCGGUGAGACCAACGAAUAAGUCGAAUUCAUUCAAAAAAAAUGCACAGUCAUCGAAUAUCAUUCAACGGUGAAUGAUAUUCGAUCGCGAAAAUUCGCUUAAGAGAUUGGGCUGUUAAACUAGAGAAUCAUAUUAAAUCGGGAUGGGAAUGAUUACUGAUGUAUGCCGAGCAGGCGGAUUCCGGUGCUGCGUUCCUGAUCCCG
rnacentral:lncRNA from 1 species